rnacentral:lncRNA from 1 species
AUCAAUUAAUUUUGGUAAGUGUAUCCGGGAAAAUGAACAGCAUCAGAUCCCAUGGAAGGUCGCAUAUUUAGCUCUUAGUAAGUAAGCCACGUAUAGCGAGGUAUUUAAACCAAUUAGAUUAUGACAUGUCAGCAUCUAAAAAUAUCUGUCUCCUCUUUACUCAAAUGAAUUGAAAAUAUAACGCAUCAUGCAAAAUGUUACAAGACAACACCUCUUUAAUUCAUCCGCUACAUAUGAAAUGAAUAUUACCAUUAAAGUUAAAAUACAUUAU